rnacentral:rRNA from 1 species
UACGUAGGGUCCGAGCGUUGUCCGGAAUUAUUGGGCGUAAAGGGCUCGUAGGCGGUUUGUUGCGUCGGGAGUGAAAACUUACAGCUUAACUGUGAGCGUGCUUCCGAUACGGGCAGACUUGAGGUAUUCAGGGGAGAACGGAAUUCCUGGUGUAGCGGUGAAAUGCGCAGAUAUCAGGAGGAACACCGGUGGCGAAGGCGGGUCUCUGGGCCGUAACUGACGCUGAGGAGCGAAAGCAUGGGGAGCGAACAGG